rnacentral:rRNA from 1 species
UAAGCCAUGCACGUGUAAGUACACACCUUCUUAAAGUGAAACGGCGAAUGGCUCAUUAAAUCAUACGUGAUUUCUUAGAUCGUUACAUCCCUUCGGGGAUGAGUGGAUAACUGUGGCAAUUCUAGAGCUAAUACAUGCAAUUAAGCUCCGACCUUUGGGGACGAGCGCACUUAUUAGACCAAGAUCAACCUGUGGGGCAACCUGCGGCUGACUGUGGUGACUCUGGAUAAGCCUAGUUGUUCGCAUGACCUCGUGUCGGCGACGUAUCUUACAAGCGUAUGCCCUAUCAGCUGUCGACGGUAGGGUAGCGGCCUACCGUGGCUGUUACGGGUAACGGGGGAUCAGGGUCCGAUCCCGGAGAGUAUGCCUGAGAGACGGCUUACACAUCUAAGGAAGGCAGCAGGCGCGCAAAUUACCCAAUGGGGAAACCCUGAGGUAGUGACAAGAAAUAACAAUACACGACUCUUUCGAGGCCGUGUAAUUGGAAUGAGCACAUUCUAAAUCCUUUAGCGAGGAUCAAUUGGAGGGCAAGUCUGGUGCCAGCAGCCGCGGUAAUUCCAGCUCCAAUAGCGUAUAUUAAAGUUGUUGCAGUUAAAAAGCUCGUAGUUGACAAUCGGCGUUCGGCUCGGCGGUACUGCUCACGCAGGCACUGCCUUGACGGCGCCUUACACAUGUGGUUUUUGGCUUCCGCUCCUUGGAAACAGGGACGGUCUGUCAUCGCCUCGGUUGCCCUUCAAUGGGUGAUCCAUGGCGGCCCAUGCGUUUACUUUGAAGAAAUUAGAGUGUUCAAAGCGGGCUAUUUAUAGCUCGAAUAAUCGUACAUGGAAUAAUGGAACAGGACGCAAGUUCAUUUCUGUUGGUCUAUGCUCAUUGCGUAAUGAUUAAAAGGGACUGCCGGGGGCAUUGGUAUGGCAGGGGUAGAGGUGAAAUUCUGUGAUCCUUGCCAGACCUCCUACAGCGAAAGCAUUUGCCAAGAAUGUCUUCAUUAAUCAAGAACGAAAGUCAGAGGUUCGAAGACGAUCAGAUACCGUCGUAGUUCUGACCAUAAACGAUGCCAGCUUGGAAGUGGACGAGAAGCAUAAUUGUCUUGUCCACACCCUGUCGGGAAACCAUAAGCGUUUGGGUUCCGGGGGAAGUAUGGUUGCAAAGCUGAAACUUAAAGGAAUUGACGGAAGGGCACCACCAGGAGUGGAGCCUGCGGCUUAAUUUGACUCAACACGGGAAAACUCACCCGGCCCGGACACUGUAAGGAUUGACAGAUUGAGAGCUCUUUCUCGAUUCGGUGGAUGGUGGUGCAUGGCCGUUCUUAGUUGGUGGAGUGAUUUGUCUGGUUAAUUCCGAUAACGAACGAGACUCUAGCCUACUAACUAGUGUGGCGGUUUUUACAGCCGUUAUACACUUCUUAGAGGGACAGGUGGCGCUUAGCCACACGAGAUGGAGCAAUAACAGGUCUGUGAUGCCCUUAGAUGUCCGGGGCCGCACGCGCGCUACACUGAAAGGUGCAAUGGGUGUAUCUGUCCUAAGCCGAUAGGCUGGGGCAAUCCGCCUAAACCCUUUCGUGCUAGGGAUUGGGGCUUGUAAUUCUUCCCCAUGAACGAGGAAUUCCCAGUAAGCGCGAGUCAUCAGCUCGCGUUGAUUACGUCCCUGCCCUUUGUACACACCGCCCGUCGCUACUACCGAUUGGAUGGCUUAGUGAGACCUUUGGACUGGACCGCCCAUGGAGGACUCGUUCUCCUCGGGUGUGGCCGGGAAGAAGUUCGAACUA